rnacentral:rRNA from 1 species
UCCAGACUCCUACGGGAGGCAGCAGUGAGGAAUAUUGGUCAAUGGGCGAGAGCCUGAACCAACCAAGUCGCGUGAGGGAGUACUGCCCUAUGGGUUGUAAACCUCUUUUGUCGGGGAGCAAAAGCCGGACGUGUCCGUCUGUGAGAGUACCCGGAGAAAAAGCAUCGGCUAACUCCGUGCCAGCAGCCGCGGUAAUACGGAGGAUCCGAGCGUUAUCCGGAUUUAUUGGGUUUAAAGGGAGCGUAGAUGGGUUGUUAAGUCAGUUGUGAAAGUUUGCGGCUCAACCGUAAAAUUGCAAUUGAUACUGGCAGUCUUGAGUACAGGUGAGGUAGGCGGAAUUCGUGGUGUAGCGGUGAAAUGCUUAGAUAUCACGAAGAACUCCGAUUGCGAAGGCAGCUUACUAAACUGCCACUGACAUUGAUGCUCGAAAGUGUGGGUAUCAAACAGGAUUAGAUACCCCCGUAA